CGUCAGAAGGAGGAUCAUCUGCUUCAGGAACACAGCUGACCACGGGUAACUGAAACUGCUGAAAGCAAAUCCAUGGAUAAGAUGGGUCUACUACAGGUACAGGGGAAUAAAAAUACAAAUGACACCUGACUUUUCACCAGAAAUAAGGAAGGCUAAGUACAACAGAACAUCUUCAAAGUUCUGAAAGGUGGGGGAAACCCUGCAAACUGAAGAUUCCACAUCCAGAAAAAGUAUUCAGAGGAUGAAAUAAAGACCUUUUCAGAUAAAUAAGAGCCAACAAAAUGUGUUUUCUGCAGACGUGCACUAUAAAAAAUGCCCAAGGAUGGUAUUAGGCUAAAGGGGAAAGAGAUCAGCUUGAAACUUGGAUUUACAGAAAAGAACAUCAGAGAAGUUUAGGUCGGCCUUCAUAUCUCUCCGGUAAUCCACUGAACAGGAAGCCAUACAAAUGAAAAUAGAGGGAAAAAGACGCUGGACACACUACUUCUACCUCUACCUCUUGGACCCAAUGAAGAUUGGUACAGCAGAAAAAGCAUUAGUCUAAGAAACAAGGAACCAAGAAACCAGGAAUACAACCUUUCAUUCUGGAUGGCAUUGUACCUCUUACCGUUCCUCCUCUCUGAAAUGUGGACACAGUAGCUAUUGCUCCAGAAGUCAGCUUGGAUCACAAGGUGAUCUUUGAAAAUGGAAGCCACACACUGAGGAUAUGAGAGCAGAGAGAAGAAAUCUGGGUCCUUGAUUUUUUUGUGAAGCAAUUGUGAAGCUGCCAUCUGAGCCCUGAACUGCCUACCUUCCAGACUUCUUCUGUGUGAAACUACUACAAAAAGAUAUCUAUCAGCAGAUGAAUUCAAUUAUUAACAAACAUGAAAUUUGGGACAUGAAGUGGGGUGAUACAAAUAAUAGAACCUAAAAUAAGAUACUCUUAAAGCAGGAGUUGAUGAGGCAAACAAUAACUCUGAUAUUGCAGGCUGGAAAGCUAGUGACCUUAUUAAAGAAUGAAAAGGAUUUGGUCAAAUUUGGUCAUCUACAGAAGUUAGAAAGCAAACCAUAUACCAAAUGAAGCUAGAGCAAGGAGAGAAAUACAGGAAAAUUUUAGAAUGCUGGCAUGUGUUGGCUCCCUCCGGUCACUUAGAACAAAGUUGUAAGAGAAAUAAAAUAAACUUCGAUUAGAGUUGCAAGCAGAGAUGGAGAAAAUGCAGAUUUGCUAAGGGAGGUAACUCCCUAUGGCCUGCAAUUUAAACUAACACUCCCAUAAUUUAAAGCUUUGCAUAGCUGAAAAAACACCAACUGUUUCUGAAGAAGCAAAGUGAAGUAAUUGAAUGGUAGCUGCAAAACUGCAGCCUUGGCAAUAGAGAAGACUGGUGCCUUGCCACACAAAAGCAAUGAUGUAAGGGUGUUGUCUUUCCACCCACGAUCUCCACCACUGUUUCAAAUUGCCUCAUCAGAACCAUCAUUUCUUCAGAACCCAGAAGAGGUCAAUGAACCUGAACGGGGGAAAAAAUACUCUUCAUUUCCACUAACUUGUGACUGAAAUUUAGCAUCCCCUUGAAUUAUGAAGUCAGACAACAAAUCAUAGUAGCAUUAACAGUACUUGUGACUUCUGCCACCAAUAAAAAUAACAAAUAUAUUCCUAUCACAUGCAAAUGUUGCAGAAUCUCAACUAUUAAAGUCAACUACUUUAAAAUUACGCUACUACUGUAUUAGACUUGCCACUAGAUCUUUUAUUUCAAGUGUUAAAAGCACAGAUAUUAUGACGUUUUCAAGUUAAUAUUUUGCCAACCACAUUUCAACAGAAUCAGUUUCCUGUAUAAUCCUAAGUAUUUUAUUUUGUGAAUUUUGAGACAUUCUUCUGAAACAGAUCCACAGGUUUCACCAGACUGUUAAAGGGGUUCCAUAGCACCAAAACAAGAUUGGAAAUUCCUGGGGUAAAUGGAGCACAAAGGGCACAGUCUUCACACUGAAAAACUGUCUUGGCAGAUACUUUAGAUCAAAACGGCAAAAAGUCUACAAAGUAUUUUAAAAUAACUGUAUGGAGGGUAGGGGGAGAGAAAGAGACUAGACACAAAAGCUCUUAUGUUUCCAAAAUAAUACCCAAGCCCAUCAAUAAGAAGUGAGCUAUAAAAGCUGCACAUUUACCAGAAAGGGCAUCUUCAAUAAUAUCCAUCUCAGAUGUGGCCAUGGAAGAUAAUGGACAAGGUAGGGAUCUUUCAUAGGGCACAGGGGACAAUGGAGGCCCUAUCAAAAAGCAAAAUCAACAAAUUUAUUACACUGUCAGGGAGUCACUGUCAUUCUUACCCAGUAAGAUUUUAUAAUGCAUUAAUGACUGUUGAGUGUUACCUGUUAUCCUCUUUUCUGAAUAAGUUUUUAUUGCUGUUAUCCUUACUCCUUCUCCACAACCAUGUAUUAGGUAGAAUACAGACAACUCAUCUUUGGUUUAUAGAUCUUUGAAUCACAAGAAGCCACACCAGGAUCUAAUGAAAGAGACUGCAGCUAUAGAGCUUGGAUCUUGAGCUAAUUAUAGUAACUGGAUGAAACUCUGGGUUGUCUCCCUUGAGAAAAGAGCAAUAAAAACUCCCAUCUUUUAAAAACAGUGAUCUCUGCUCCAUUUAGGAGAAAAAUGGACAGCAUCAAACUAAUCUCCACUAAGGAAUUCAGAAUUAGGACUGAAGUGGUUUGGGCUGGUCUCUUGAAUGAAGAAGCUAUGAACUUGAGAGGUAUGGGAUGACCAUGUGCCCGAAAGACAAAGAAAGCUUAUUUGCAUAAAUGAAGAAAUAAAUUACAGAGAAAAGCAACAGAGAAGAGAGUAUACUGCCUAGUUUCCUAAGAACCUAAGUUCUAUUUCCUCAAGAGAUCCAGCUAUCCCUGGGUUCUGUGAAACACCCCUGUAUUCUCCAUAAAUAAAUUCCUUUUCUU